rnacentral:rRNA from 1 species
UACAGAGGUCCCAAGCGUUGUUCGGAUUCAUUGGGCGUAAAGCGCGCGUAGGCGGUUGCUUAAGUCGGAUGUGAAAGCCCUCGGCUUAACUGAGGAAGUGCAUCCGAAACUGAGCAGCUAGAGUACGAAAGAGGGUCGCGGAAUUCCCGGUGUAGAGGUGAAAUUCGUAGAUAUCGGGAGGAACACCGGUGGCGAAGGCGGCGACCUGGGUCGAGACUGACGCUGAGGCGCGAAAGCGUGGGGAGCAAACAGG